rnacentral:rRNA from 1 species
CCUACGGGAGGCUGCAGUGAGGAAUAUUGGUCAAUGGUCGGGAGACUGAACCAGCCAAGCCGCGUGAGGGAGGAAGGUACAGAGUAUCGUAAACCUCUUUUGUCAGGGAACAAAGGCGGGGACGUGUCCCCGGCUGAGUGUACCUGAAGAAAAAGCAUCGUCUAACUCCGUGCCAGCAGCCGCGGUAAUACGGGGGAUGCGAGCGUUAUCCGGAUUUAUUGGGUUUAACGGGUGCGCCGGCGGUCUGUUAAGUCAGCGGUCAAAGCCCGGGGCUCAACCCCGGCCCGCCGUUGAAACUGGCAGUCUCGAGUUGGAGAGAAGUAUGCGGAAUGCGCGGUGUAGCGGUGAAAUGCAUAGAUAUCGCGCAGAACUCCGAGUGCGAAGGCAGCAUGCCGGCUCCACACUGACGCUGAGGCACGAAAGCGUGGGUAUCGAACAGGAUUAGAUACCCUGGUAGUC